rnacentral:rRNA from 1 species
GAUGAACGCUGGCGGCGUGCCUAAUACAUGCAAGUCGAGCGAACGGACGAGAAGCUUGCUUUUCUGAUGUUAGCGGCGGACGGGUGAGUAACACGUGGAUAACCUACCUAUAAGACUGGGAUAACUUCGGGAAACCGGAGCUAAUACCGGAUAAUAUUUUGAACCGCAUGGUUCAAAAGUGAAUGACGGUCUUGCUGUCACUUAUAGCUGGAUCCGCGCUGCAUUAGCUAGUUGGUAAGGUAACGGCUUACCAAGGCAACGAUGCAUAGCUGACCUGAGAGGGUGAUCGGCCACACUGGAACUGAGACACGGUCCAGACUCCUACGGGAGGCAGCAGUAGGGAAUCUUCCGCAAUGGGCGAAAGCCUGACGGAGCAACGCCGCGUGGGUGAUGAAGGUCUUCGGAUCGUAAAACUCUGUUAUUAGGGAAGAACAUAUGUGUAAGUAACUGUGCACAUCUUGACGGUACCUAAUCAGAAAGCCACGGCUAACUACGUG